ACGGGAUUUGCGAAACCCAAGGUGCAUGCCGAGGGGCGGUUGGCCUCGUAAAAAGCCGCAAAAAAUAGUCGCAAACGACGAAAACUACGCUUUAGCAGCUUAAUAACCUGCUUAGAGCCCUCUCUCCCUAGCCUCCGCUCUUAGGACGGGGAUCAAGAGAGGUCAAACCCAAAAGAGAUCGCGUGGAAGCCCUGCCUGGGGUUGAAGCGUUAAAACUUAAUCAGGCUAGUUUGUUAGUGGCGUGUCCGUCCGCAGCUGGCAAGCGAAUGUAAAGACUGACUAAGCAUGUAGUACCGAGGAUGUAGGAAUUUCGG
rnacentral:tmRNA from 1 species